GAUGAACGCUGGCGGCGUGCCUAAUACAUGCAAGUCGAGCGAACGGAUGAGAAGCUUGCUUCUCUGAUGUUAGCGGCGGACGGGUGAGUAACACGUGGAUAACCUACCUAUAAGACUGGGAUAACUUCGGGAAACCGGAGCUAAUACCGGAUAAUAUUUUGAACCGCAUGGUUCAAAAGUGAAAGACGGUCUUGCUGUCACUUAUAGAUGGAUCCGCGCUGCAUUAGCUAGUUGGUAAGGUAACGGCUUACCAAGGCAACGAUGCAUAGCCGACCUGAGAGGGUGAUCGGCCACCCUGGAACUGAGACACGGUCCAGACUCCUACGGGAGGCAGCAGUAGGGAAUCUUCCGCAAUGGGCGAAAGCCUGACGGAGCAACGCCGCGUGAGUGAUGAAGGUCUUCGGAUCGUAAAACUCUGUUAUUAGGGAAGAACAUAUGUGUAAGUAACUGUGCACAUCUUGACGGUACCUAAUCAGAAAGCCACGGCUAACUACGUG
rnacentral:rRNA from 1 species